rnacentral:tRNA from 1 species
GUUGUUGUGGCCGAGUGGUUAAGGCGAUGGACUUGAAAUCCAUUGGGGUUUCCCCACGCAGGUUCAAAUCCUGCCGAUAACG